AGGAAGGCAAAUCAUAUUCUUUCUUAGUUGCUGAAGAGCGGGUUGAAGCCACUAGCUAAGGCCCACCUAUGUUCACUCCUGGGAACAGGAAAAGAAGCUUCGACCUCUAUGGCAAGAAGAAAUGGGACCGAAACCCUGUUAUGUCAAGGGUGAUACGACUUCCAUUUGAUAUUGGAUACCAGAUCGACUCGCUUUUCACCUUAGAUCAGGGCUAGAUCGGGGCUUUUUGGUAAUUUAGACUUUUCUUUUAUCGCUUCUCCUUCAUUUAGUGAAAUUCGAUUCCUAUUUUCUCUAGUGAUAGGGAAUUAGGGAUCACUUCACCUCCCUUGCUCCCAAAUAAGAUUUCAGGAUCCACCUACUGAAGGAAUGGAUUGUCUGGUUUGGUUUGCAGCUUAUCAAGCUUGAAAUCCGUUCUUAGACCUACCGGUGACCGGCUUCGCGAGACCAUUUCGAUCCACACAUGGCGUUGCUCUAUUGGGCGGUGGCUUAUAGAAGCAAAUCCCGUACUUGAUAAGAUCAGCAAUAAAAAGAAAGACCUGCCCUUUCGGUGAAG
rnacentral:lncRNA from 1 species